GUCCUCAGAGCCUCUGCCCUCGGCCAGCAGCCUUAUCUCCCUGCCUUCAGCACCUUCCUUCCCACCUGGAAACCCUCAGGCUCACCUGGGCCCCUCGAGGGCGGGGAGUUCCACAAAAAGGCAGAGGUGUAGAAAUUGGCCGGGGAAAAGAAGCAUUCCUAGCUAAUGAGAAGCCAAGUGUGUGCGUUUCUAAAAAAUGUGCCCUUGAAGAGCUUCCAGACCCGUGAGCGCAAAGAAAAAGCAGAACAACACAGAGCAGUUAGCGCCGAGGCCUCUCGUUUGCAGGUAAGCGCGGCACCUCUGGCGGGUCGCCCCCCACCCCCCCCAGAGAGGAUCGCAUCCCCCCCCCCAGGAACUGCGACCUCCACCGCAAACACGGCUGGUCACCUCCCUGGAACUGAUCAGCGAGAAACCUGGAAUUUUAUUUUUGCUUCUAGAAAGACAGCUGAAGGUUGGCGCUUCCCCGGCAAUACUGACAGCCGCGGCCGCAGCAGGAAUACUUCAGAGUUUUGCUCUGGCCCCUCUCUCUUUGUGAGCCCCGGGCCGCGGCAGUCUUGGGGGGUAGGCAGCAGAUGCUUCUCAUUUUAUUCAAUGUUCUUAUUUUAUAAAGCGAGAAAACAAACGGAGAAGAGUGACCUCCUUUGUGGGUGCGGUAAAGUAACAUGGUGAAAUCACUAAUUAUUUUAAAGCCACUGUGCAGAGAAACUGCUUAAACAUAUGUACGAAAUAGCUCCUAAUAGAUUGUUCUAGCAAUUUCCACAAGGACUGCUGUAAGUAUAGAGAAAUUAAAAAUGGGAUUGGUUAAUAGAGGCUAGUAACAUGCUCUGGGGCUUUUAAUCUUGAUUUCUUUUCUCUUCUAUAUAAUUAUAUGGUGAUAUGAAGAUAAACAUACUAAUUUUGGUCACAAUUAUCUCCCUCAAAGGAAGCAAAUACAGUAUCUUUCAAAGUGCAAUUUUCUACUUUUUAAAGAGAUUUUUCCCAGUGCGAGCUUCCUGAUGUUACGCCUCUACCUAGUCGGUCAGCACAGCCCAUCCUGAAACUCCAGGAAGACAGCCUCAUGGAAAAGAGGGGGCAGCUGGCAUCGCGAGCACAGCGACGCGGUCAUACAUGCAGCAUGUGAUCGACAGGCAUGUGUGCUUUCUCGAGGCGAAUUGCGCUUUGGGGAGGGCAGGCCAGUAUCCUGUGGAGAGACGUGCAUCUUACAGAUCACUUCGGAACCCAACAGCAACCUAAAAAGAAAAUCUGCAGAAAAACAGAAAUGUCCAACAAAACAGCAGCGGAAGAGGGAAGACAGAGACACAGGGGCCCAGGCCAGGCGCGAGCCCCGGGCACGGACGUCAAGCAGCGCGAACCUCCCACGAGCACGGACUGAAGCCCAGCAGGAGUCAGACACAGGGCUCGGCAGAGCCACAUCUGAAACAGAGGCCUCAGAAGAAGAUGCUGGCGGAGGUGAUACCGCGGCGAGCGGCUCAGAGGAGCAGGUGCGGCCGCACAGUGACGCACUCGAAGCCGAGCUCUCAUCUCCUGUGCCUGUUCCCCGUCGGCUCCCAUUCGGGGUUACUGUGACCAGCACCGCUGUUCCGAGCGCUUUGUACGUGUCCUGUGGGCUCCUUUGUCUCCACCUCCCUGGAGUUGACCCCAGAGUGGCGUUGCUGGGCCCUGCGGUAGGCCUUUUAUUGAGGCUCCAAAGAACCUGUUUGCUGAAGAAGCGUCGGUACCACCUUACAGCCCAGUGUUGGAGGCGAGUCCACAGCCAGGGAUGGAUGUUUCUCCAUUUUCAAAGGUCUUUCAACUCCCGCAGCAGUAUUUGGUUAGUUCCAAAAUACAAGCCUUCUUCUCUUCUUGCAUUUUUUUCCCCCUGAGUAUUUUAUUAUUUUUGAUGCAAUCAUAAAAGGGAUUGUUUUCUUUAUUUUUGGUUUCAGGCAAGGAUGGAGAGACAGCCGUUUUUCUCUCCUGAACUAGUUCCUGCCACCCUGCUGACUUCCUUGCUUCCUUACAGUGGUGUUUCUGCGAACUUAGAAGUUUCCUCGUACGGCAUGUUGUCACGGGGGAGUGGGGCAAUCUUCUCUGUUUCCCGUCUCCCAGGGCUGUGUCUUUAUUUCUUUUUCUUGCCUGAUUGCACUGGCUAGACCCUCUCAGACAAUACUGACUAGAAACGUGAGCAUGCUCGUCCUCGCCUUGUUUCCAGUUUUAGGGAGAAAAGCAUCCAGUCUUUCGCUAUUAAAUUCAGGCUAAUGAGUUACACUUUUUUGUGGAUGUCCUGUAUUAUGAAAUUUUCAUCUGUUUCUAAUACCGAGUAUUUUUAAUUAUAAACAGAUGUUAGAUUUUGUCAAUACAUUUUGUGCAUCUACUCAGAUGAUCGUCUAUGUUCUCCUCUUUAUGCUGAAUUUAUUAAAUUGAUAUAUGUUGGAUAGGAAACCACUUUGUGUUCCUGAAUAAAUUUUAC